rnacentral:rRNA from 1 species
CUACGGGGCGCUCCAGUGGGGAAUAUUGCACAAUGGAGGAAACUCUGAUGCAGCAACGCCGCGUGGAGGAUGACACUUUUCGGAGCGUAAACUCCUUUUAUAUAGGAAGAAGAUGACGGUACUAUAUGAAUAAGCGCCGGCUAGUACUCCGUGCCAGCAGCCGCGGUAAUACGGAGGGCGCAAGCGUUACUCGGAAUCACUGGGCGUAAAGAGCGUGUAGGCGGAUUAAAAAGUCAGAAGUGAAAUCCUAUAGCUUAACUAUAGAACUGCUUCUGAAACUCUUAAUCUAGAAUAUGGGAGAGGUAGAUGGAAUUUCUGGUGUAGGGGUAAAAUCCGUAGAGAUCAGAAGGAAUACCGAUUGCGAAGGCGAUCUACUAGAACAUUAUUGACGCUGAGACGCGAAAGCGUGGGGAGCAAACAGGAUUAGAUACCCCGGUAGUC